CAAUAUUUCUCCCAAACAUUAGAAAAACAAAUAACCUUUUUCCCAAUUUUUUUUUAAUUUUUGUUAUUUUCAAUCUUAUUUUUGUGUGUAUUAGAGUUUUCAUCUAUGGAGUCGAGAAAAUCAGUGUUCAAGUCUUGAGACUCCGCAAUUGAUGUUGGCUCCACGUGAAAACUAAUUCCACUAUUACCAGUUACCAGUGCCAAACUGCCAAUACCACAUCCCCAUGAAUCAUGAUCAAAUUGCUGCACCAUUAAUUUAGCCCACUGCCCACUGAAUCUGAAAUUUGACGCAGCCAUUUCACCUUCGUUAUUCCUUCAAAUUCAGCACCACUUAGUCCAGAUCUACCUCCAUUUCUCUUUCUAACAAAGGAAGAUCAAAGAAUUAACAAUGGCUAACAAUGUCAAUCCAUUGCUAAUGUCGGAAAUUGGCCCCGAUGGUCUCGCUCGAGAAGCUCCUGUCAUCGCUUACACUGAAAAGAUAAUUGAGCAGGAAAAACUUCAACUCCAGAAAUAUAUAGAGGAAAAUUAUUCAAAAAUCCGUGAUGUUGAGCGCGAAUUUGCUAACCUCAAUUUCGAGCUGAAACUGACUGCAGGAUCAAAGAACGCUGCAUUUGAACACUUGAGAAAGAAGAUUGAACUUCAGAAUGAGAAAAUUCGAACAGCUAAGUUAAAGGAAGAACAGGCCAAAAAGGUAUGGGAGGAUGCUCUAAAAGUUGUACAGGAUGAGGAAGCAGUUAAGCAGAAGCUAUGUGAGGACUUGAAUCAAUUGGUCCAAGAAAGCGGUAACUCCCAAUUCGCAAGGCUCGAGGAACUAAAAAGACGACUAGAAGCUUUAAAUCCAGGAAGAGCAUCAACCUCUAUUUUGCAUAAUGGCACGCCAUCUAGUGCGUCACCUGCUGCUUUGACGCCAGAAGUAAAUGGGAUAGCUACAAGCAAUCCCAGUCAAGAAAAUGGUGAAACUGUACCAACUGUUAAUGUUCAAAAUCAACCACCUAGCACUGAUGGAGAAGGAAGAGGAAAGAAGAAAAGCCUCUUACAAGGGAGAGGAAGGGGACUUGGAGUAUUGGCAAAAGGGAGAGGGCCUUCUACGCCUGGAUGGACUGGUGCUGGAUUUGAUGUGGACACUGGAAGCUGAGAGGAGCUAGCUGAUGUGUCAAAUUUUGUGAUGAGAAAAUACUCCGGGGUUCGGCAAGAGGGGGACAAAGAUAAAGGGAAAAGUGCUUCUUGGAUGGUUGAUAUAUAGCUGGUUGGGUUUCACAAUAUGCUUUAUUGCUUUAGCACCAUGUCGUCCUCUAGCAUGAUGGGUUAUGGUGAGGCAAGGUGAUGAUCAUACAUUGAGAUACGUAAAAAAUUCAAGGACAUCCCACCAUUGAGCCAGGACCAAGCCAUGGGAGUGUCAGCCAUUCAUCAAUGUGCACUCAACCUUGGGCAUGACUAUAAUGAAGGCUCACCUGAGUGGAAGCUGGACCCCUAACUUGAGAUAUUAACUUUGAAAUUGUUAUUAGUUUAUCAGGUUCAUGUCUUCAUGAAAGUUGCUCACUUAUUAGCCUGGAACCUGAACAUGAUAGUUCUGCACUGUAAGCGUUUGUUCUUGUCACAUGAAAAAUUAAAUUAGCCUCUUCAAGAAUAUUAUAUCUAUAUUCACUCAAGGCAUGAGCAUCCCCGUCUAUAGAUUGAGUGGAGCAUAGAGGCAAGUCUUCCAACUUGUGAUAUAAGGCUGUGAGGACAUAAGUGGGGCUUGGGACCAAGUGCAUGGAAUUACAUGGAAGCAGCUCGACAUACCCUUUGGUGGCUUGAACAAUGCCCACACUCAGAAAGGCUCAAGUAGCCUAAACAUUUGGUGCUCGGCAGUGCAUCCGCAGUGGUGGUGACUCUGACUAGGCCACCGUUGUAGCAAAACGGUGGAGCUUGAUUAAGUGGGCCUACUUUUAGUACCCUUAAUGGUUGGACAUAAUCUCCAACGUAAGUAAAUUGUAAUCAUCUAUUGUUUGUCAUGAGCCUAAUAAUUGAUACUCUUAUAUCCUAUCCAGCAUCAACUUUGCUAAGACCCAUCUGUUGCUGGACCACUCGUGAUGACCUUGUGUAGAGCCCUGUAAAGGUUGUAUGGCCUCGGGUGAACUUAGGCACCUCAUUAGGGAAGUGGAUGCUGUGAACAAUUAAGAAAUAAUUAUGGCCUCCUCUCCUAUUAUAGGAGAUAUGAGUCAAGUGUUGCAGUGGGAGGUGGUUGCCUUGAUGCCUCUACUAUUAAGAAUCGUGAUCGGUCGCAAAUUAUGGGCUUGCACACCACAAGUGGGGCAGUAACAUCAACUGUUACCACCAAUGAAGUGCUCACCUUGACAUUCAACACUAAUCAGCCGGUUAUCUCUUACAUGUGUUGUUUUUAUUAAAGUUAGUUUCAUUAUGGGAAAAUCCUCUGGCUCUCACGAUCAUCCUUAAACCUAUUUAUUCUAGAGAAGACAUUUACGUCAGGCUGCACAUAGUGACC